rnacentral:rRNA from 1 species
GACGAACGCUGGCGGCGUGCCUAAUACAUGCAAGUCGAACGGUUUAGUUCCAAGAGGCUUGCCUUUUGGAACUAGACAGUGGCGGACGGGUGAGUAACACGUAGGCAACCUACCUGUCAAACCGGGAUAACCUCGGGAAACCGAAGCUAAACCCGGAUAAGCUCCUUUUUCGCAUGAAGGGGGAGUGCAAAGGUGCGACCUGAUGACAGAUGGGCCUGCGGCGCAUUAGCUAGUAGGUAGGGUAACGGCCUACCUAGGCGAUGAUGCGUAGCCGACCUGAGAGGGCGUACGGCCACACUGGGACUGAGAUACGGCCCAGACUCCUACGGGAGGCAGCAGUAGGGAAUCUUCGGCAAUGGGCGAAAGCCUGACCGAGCAACGCCGCGUGAGUGAGGAAGGCCUUCGGGUUGUAAAACUCUGUUGUUUGGGAAGAAGGGAAAGGGUAGGACCCUUUGGUGACGGUACCAAACGAGAAAGCCCCGGCUAACUACGUG